GACGAACGCUGGCGGCGUGCUUAACACAUGCAAGUCGAACGGAAAGGCCCUGCUUUUGUGGGGUGCUCGAGUGGCGAACGGGUGAGUAACACGUGAGUAACCUGCCCUUGACUUUGGGAUAACUUCAGGAAACUGGGGCUAAUACCGGAUAGGAGCUCCUGCUGCAUGGUGGGGGUUGGAAAGUUUCGGCGGUUGGGGAUGGACUCGCGGCUUAUCAGCUUGUUUGUGGGGUAGUGGCUUACCAAGGCUUUGACGGGUAGCCGGCCUGAGAGGGUGACCGGCCACAUUGGGACUGAGAUAAGGCCCAGACUCGUACGGGAGGCAGCAGUGGGGAAUAUUGCACAAUGGGCGGAAGCCUGAUGCAGCAACGCCGCGUGCGGGAUGACGGCCUUCGGGUUGUAAACCGCUUUCGCCUGUGACGAAGCGUGAGUGACGGUAAUGGGUAAAGAAGCACCGGCUAACUACGUG
rnacentral:rRNA from 1 species